rnacentral:rRNA from 1 species
UAACAUGCAGUCGAACGGUGAACACGGAGCUUGCUCUGUGGGAUCAGUGGCGAACGGGUGAGUAACACGUGAGCAACCUGCCCCUGACUCUGGGAUAAGCGCUGGAAACGGCGUCUAAUACUGGAUAUGUGACGUGACCGCAUGGUCUGCGUCUGGAAAGAAUUUCGGUUGGGGAUGGGCUCGCGGCCUAUCAGCUUGUUGGUGAGGUAAUGGCUCACCAAGGCGUCGACGGGUAGCCGGCCUGAGAGGGUGACCGGCCACACUGGGACUGAGACACGGCCCAGACUCCUACGGGAGGCAGCAGUGGGGAAUAUUGCACAAUGGGCGCAAGCCUGAUGCAGCAACGCCGCGUGAGGGACGACGGCCUUCGGGUUGUAAACCUCUUUUAGCAGGGAAGAAGCGAAAGUGACGGUACCUGCAGAAAAAGCGCCGGCUAACUACGUGCCAGCAGCCGCGGUAAUACGUAGGGCGCAAGCGUUAUCCGGAAUUAUUGGGCGUAAAGAGCUCGUAGGCGGUUUGUCGCGUCUGCUGUGAAAUCCGGAGGCUCAACCUCCGGCCUGCAGUGGGUACGGGCAGACUAGAGUGCGGUAGGGGAGAUUGGAAUUCCUGGUGUAGCGGUGGAAUGCGCAGAUAUCAGGA